GACGAACGCUGGCGGCGUGCUUAACACAUGCAAGUCGAACGAGGUCCACCCAGUGGCAACACUGGUGAAGACCUAGUGGCGAACGGGUGAGUAACACGUGAGGAACCUGCCCCGAAGACCGGGACAACCCUCCGAAAGGAGAGCUAAUACCGGCUGCCCUCUAAUGAUCGCAUGUUAGGUUGAGGAAGGGAUUCUGCUUCGGGCGGGCCUCGCGGCCUAUCAGCUUGUUGGUGAGGUAACGGCUCACCAAGGCGACGACGGGUAGCUGGUCUGAGAGGACGAUCAGCCACACUGGGACUGAGACACGGCCCAGACUCCUACGGGAGGCAGCAGUGGGGAAUCUUGCGCAAUGGGCGAAAGCCUGACGCAGCAACGCCGCGUGCGGGAUGAAGGCCUUCGGGUUGUAAACCGCUUUCAGUGGGGACGAAAACAGACGGUACCCACAGAAGAAGCCCCGGCCAACUACGUGCCAGCCACCGCGGUAACAC
rnacentral:rRNA from 1 species